rnacentral:rRNA from 1 species
UACGUAGGGGGCUAGCGUUGCUCGGAAUCACUGGGCGUAAAGCGCACGUAGGCGGCUCUUUAAGUCAGGGGUGAAAUCCUGGAGCUCAACUCCAGAACUGCCUUUGAUACUGGGGAUCUCGAGUCCGGGAGAGGUGAGUGGAACUCCGAGUGUAGAGGUGAAAUUCGUAGAUAUUCGCAAGAACACCAGUGGCGAAGGCGGCUCACUGGCCCAUAACUGACGCUGAGGCACGAAAGCGUGGGGAGCAAACAGG